AUAGCGCUGGCGGAUGCUUACACAUGCAGUCGAACGGCAGCACGGACUUCGGUCUGGUGGCGAGUGGCGAACGGGUGAGUAAUAUAUCGGAACGUGCCAGAUCGUGGGGGAUAACGUAGUGAAAAUUACGCUAUAUACCUGCAUACGAUCUACGGAUGAAAGCGGGGUGAUCGCAAGACCUCGGCGCGAUUUGGAGGCGGCCGAUAUCAGAUUGAUGUAGUUGGUGAGGUAAAGGCUCACCAAGCCAACGAUCUGUAGCUGGUCUGAGAGGACGACCAGCCACACUGGAACUGAGACACGGUCCAGACUCCUACGGGAGGCAGCAGUGGGGAAUUUUGGACAAUGGACGCAAGUCUGAUCCAGCCAUUCCGCGUGCAGGACGAAGGCCUUCGGGUUGUAAACUGCUUUUGUACAGAACGAAAAGGUCUCUAUUAAUACUAGGGGCUCAUUGACGGGUACCCUGUAAAAUAGCGCCUAACUACGUGCCAGCAGCCGCGGUAAUACGUAGGGUGCAAGCGUUAAUCGGAAUUACUGGGCGUAAAGCGUGCGCAGGCGGUUAUAUAGAAAGAUGUGAAAUCCCCCGGGCUCAACCUGGG
rnacentral:rRNA from 1 species